AUACGGAAGGUCCGGGCGUUAUCCGGAUUUAUUGGGUUUAAAGGGAGCGCAGGCGGAGAUGCAAGCGUGACGUCAAAUUUCGGGGCUCAACCCCGUCUCGCGUCGCGAACUGCGUCCCUUGGUUGCGGGAAGGGGAGGCGGAACUCGUGGUGUAGCGGUGAAAUGCAUAGAUAUCACGAAGAACUCCGAUCGCGAAGGCAGCCUUCCGGCCCGUCAACGACGCUCAUGCUCGAAGGUUCGGGUAUCAAACAGGAUUAGAUACCCUGGUGGUCCGCACAGUAAACGAUGGACGCCCGCGGUUUGGCCUAUAUGGCUGAGCCGCCAAGCGAAAGCGUUAAGUGUCCCACCUGGGGAGUACGCCGGCAACGGUGAAACUCAAAGGAAUUGACGGGG
rnacentral:rRNA from 1 species